CCCCUGCUGCCUUGUCGCCUGUGGCCCUGUGACAGCCAGAAACUCACCCCACCUCUCUGAAAAGAGCGGAGAUCCGGGAGAGAGAAACUCCUCUGUGGUGGGCUUUCAGCUCCCCCCACUAGCAUAUCAGCCAGCAUCAAGAUCUGCACCCUGGCAUCAGUUUUCCUGGCACAGUGCUUUUAGAAAUCACACCUGCCCCUGUGAGGUGCUCUGUGAGUGCAGUCUGAGAGAAGGAAAAGAGAACUGGAAAGCUCCACACACAUUGUGGCUUUCACAUCUCCUGUCCUGCUGCAUUCCUGUGCCUGGAAUCGUGUUUGUCCUGUGUGUGACGAGUGGAUUAUGCUGUACUUCUGUCUGGACACUGGGACAUGAGAGAAAUAAGAGAUGCCUGAAGGGAAGCAAGAAUGGAAAGCAUCCUUAAAAUGACUGAUUUACAGUUGGUCUCGUGAGACUUCUUCAGGCUCUCUUCUUGUUUGCUGCUGUACAUCUGGACUGAGAGUCAUGCAAGAUGGCAGGUGUAAGUUGCUCUUGGAGAUGCAACACACAGCAUGCAAGACAAACACUUCCUUUCCUUUUUCCACCAGCAGAAUAAAAAAAACUUUGGGCCACGCUCUUGUGCUCUU
rnacentral:lncRNA from 1 species